AUCCAGUUGACGAGUCCCAAAUAAGAUGAAAUGUGCGUCUUGCAU
rfam:Schistosoma mattheei strain Denwood, Zambia genome assembly, scaffold: SMTD_scaffold0002589